CCUUUCGGGGGUACACGAGCGGCGAACGGGUGAGUAACACGUGAGCAAUCUGCCCCUGUCUCUGGGAUAACCACUGGAAACGGUGGCUAAUACCGGAUAUGACCUCCUUCUGCAUGGUUGGUGGUGGAAAAGUCCGCUGGACAGGGAUGAGCUCGCGGCCUAUCAGCUUGUUGGUGGGGUAAUGGCCUACCAAGGCGACGACGGGUAGCCGGCCUGAGAGGGUGACCGGCCACACUGGGACUGAGACACGGCCCAGACUCCUACGGGAGGCAGCAGUGGGGAAUAUUGGACAAUGGGCGAAAGCCUGAUCCAGCAACGCCGCGUGAGGGAUGACGGCCUUCGGGUUGUAAACCUCUUUCAGCAGGGACGAAGCGAAAGUGACGGUACCUGCAGAAGAAGGACCGGCCAACUACGUGCCAGCAGCCGCGGUAAUACGUAGGGUCCGAGCGUUGUCCGGAAUUAUUGGGCGUAAAGGGCUCGUAGGCGGUUUGUCACGUCGGGAGUGAAAACUCAGGGCUUAACCCUGAGCGUGCUUCCGAUACGGGCUGACUAGAGGGAUGCAGGGGAGAACGGAAUUCCUGGUGUAGCGGUGGAAUGCGCAGAUAUCAGGAGGAACACCGGUGGCGAAGGCGGUUCUCUGGGCAUUUCCUGACGCUGAGGAGCGAAAGCAUGGGGAGCGAACAGGAUUAGAUACCCUGAUAGUCCAUGCCGUAAACGUUGGGCGCUAGGUGUGGGGACCUUCCACGGGUUUCCGUGCCGC
rnacentral:rRNA from 1 species